GGAGGGUGGGGGGAUGUUUGGUUCCCCCUGCUUGGGCAGACUGGAGAGCAUGGUGUAACCACAUUUUGUGGCGUAAUUAUGUUUGGCCUCUGCUGAUCGAGCUUGUCACCUGAAUUCUACUACCCUUGCUUUUUGCGCACCCAUUGUUUCCUCGGCAGGCUUGCCUGCCAGUAGGACCCUUUAAAACCCUUUGUAAUUGCAAUCAGCGUCAGAAACAACGUAAUCGUUACAACUUUCAACAACGGAUCUCUUGGUUCUGGCAUCGAUGAAGAACGCAGCGAAAUGCGAUAAGUAGUGUGAAUUGCAGAAUUCAGUGAAUCAUCGAAUCUUUGAACGCACAUUGCGCCCCUUGGUAUUCCAUGGGGCAUGCCUGUUCGAGCGUCAUUUGUACCCUCCAGCCCUGCUGGGUGUUGGGCGUUUUGUUCCGCUGCACGCGUGAACUCGCCUCAAAUGCAUUGGCAGCCCGCCGUCCCGUGUGGGAGCGCAGCACAUUUUGCGCUCUCCGCUGCUGACGGUGGCAUCCACAAGUCUACCAUUUUACGCUUGACCUCGGAUCAGGUAGGGAUACCCGCUGAACUUAAGCAUAUCAAUA
rnacentral:rRNA from 1 species